rnacentral:lncRNA from 1 species
CGAGUAGAUAUGGUUGCCAUUGUUCAAUAGAGCCAUUGGACUUGUCUCAACGAUGUUCCUAUCUGCCAUGAUAUUGCAGGAUAUCUAGGUUGACUCAUUAUCCCUGGCUUUGUAAAGACUACAGCAUAAUGGGAGCCCUACUUCCUUGUUCCCACCCUCAAAGACAGGCUUUUCAAAACGGGGAAGGUACUGCUUUACAGGUUCACAGGAGCUAUGCUACUAUGCACUGUAUAUCCGAGAUUGCUAAAUUAUUCACUACAAUGGCUGCUUCUGAUGAUUCCGCUUUCCAAGAAGAGCUGGAAGCCAAAUUUUGGGGGGAUGUUAAUUUACAUAGGAACAUACAGCCCUGUUUAUUUGAGUCAGAAUGCACUGAAGAGGAGUUGAAACAGCAAUAAAAAUAAUAGUGAAACCAGCAAGCUGCGGCGGCAGCCUAGACCAGGUGGACCAGGUCAAAGGAAGGCAAAUGACAAACAAAUCUUUUUGCCGCUGAAACUCUAGCACGUUCAAAAGCGAAUACUGGAACAAUAUUUUGAAUGUCGAAUGUGGAGAAUGCUCAGAGGCGAUCUAAAGAACACUAAUGUCAUUACGUUUGUUGUUUUGUGAUAUCAUUAAAAAUGUUAUAAAGGAAAUACUGUAGCUUGGAAAGUAUACCCACUACAUGUGUGAAGUGUCCAUCCUAUGUGAAUCCAAAGCACAUUCAAUAAAGGAAGGUGAUAGAUAUAAUCAAAUGUUUUAUUUACAUGCAUUUAUUUCACCUCAUACUUUCUUCUGACCCUCCUGGGAUUUAAAAUAUUGCCUUCUGUUUAGUUUACUGUACAUAGUAGAGUGUAAGGAAAAGGUAAAAUACAAAAGAGAGUUUACAGUAUGUGCAGGUAAGGUAAAAAUAGGGACACUACUGUGAAACCAUAUGGCAUAAUUCUGUUGGGGUAAGUGUCCUCCGGGGGGAGGGAGGACUUACUCCGGUAGCUGGACAAAAUACCCCUUUCCUAAAAUAUAAAUUGUAUUAAAUAACUACAAAUCUGCCAACUGAAGCUAUCAUCCACCUUCAUUUUUUUCUGAAAUCUGCUUUUUUGUGUCAGCAAAUAGACAUUGAUCUUAGAGUGUGUGUUUACCCCAAUGUUUUAUUUGUUUUGUGAAAUGCUAUCUCAGAUUCUUAAGGAAGAACUUCUGCACCACGUGAUUUGUUUUUCUCUUUUAGUUGAUGCUUUUAUGGCCGUUUGCAGAGAGAUUUGUGCCAUAGUAGAUGUGUGAAAAAUAUAUGUUGUUACCUCAGAUAACCAUAUUUAAUAAGCAAACUAUCAAAAUGUUUUCGCACUAAUGUAAAGGAAGAAUUUGGCAAUGUUAUCAUGUAAUAAAGAUGUCCCUAACCUGA